UACAGAGGGGGCAAGCGUUGUUCGGAAUUACUGGGCGUAAAGGGCGCGUAGGCGGCCUGUUAAGUCGAACGUGAAAUCCCCGGGCUCAACCCGGGAACUGCGUCCGAUACUGGCAGGCUUGAAUUCGGGAGAGGGAUGUGGAAUUCCAGGUGUAGCGGUGAAUGCGUAGAUAUCUGGAGGAACACCGGUGGCGAAGGCGGCAUCCUGGACCGUAUAUUGACGCUGAUGCGCGAAAGCCAGGGGAGCGAACGGG
rnacentral:rRNA from 1 species